UACAGAGGUCUCAAGCGUUGUUCGGAUUCAUUGGGCGUAAAGGGUGCGUAGGUGGCGCUGUAAGUCAGGUGUGAAAUUUCGGAGCUUAACUCCGAAACUGCAUUUGAUACUGCGGUGCUUGAGGACUGGAGAGGAGACUGGAAUUUACGGUGUAGCAGUGAAAUGCGUAGAGAUCGUAAGGAAGACCAGUGGCGAAGGCGGGUCUCUGGACAGUUCCUGACACUGAGGCACGAAGGCCAGGGGAGCAAAACGGG
rnacentral:rRNA from 1 species